rnacentral:misc_RNA from 1 species
GUGAGUCAUCGAAUCUUUGAACGCACAUUGCGCCCGCCAGUACUCUGGCGGGCAUGCCUGUCUGAGCGUCAUUUCAACCCUCGAGCCCAUUUGGACUCGGCGUUGGGGAUCGGCCUGCCCUCGCGGCGGCCGGCCCCGAAAUCUAGUGGCGGUCUCGCUGUAGCCUCCUCUGCGUAGUAGCAAUAUCUCGCAGGCGGAGAGCGGCGCGGCCACGCCGUGAAACACCCAACUUUACCAAGGUUGACCUCAGAUCAGGUAGGACUACCCGCUGAACUUAAGCAUAUCAAUAAGCGGAGGA